UACGGAGGAUGCGAGCGUUAUCCGGAUUUAUUGGGUUUAAAGGGUGCGUAGGCGGGAUGCCAAGUCAGCGGUCAAAUACGGGGGCUCAACCUGCGUCCGCCGUUGAAACUGGCGUUCUUGAGUGGGCGAGAAAUACGCGGAAUGCGUGGUGUAGCGGUGAAAUGCAUAGAUAUCACGCAGAACCCCGAUUGCGAAGGCAGCGUACCGGCGCCCGACUGACGCUGAAGCACGAAAGCGUGGGUAUCGAACAGG
rnacentral:rRNA from 1 species